UACGAAGGGGGCUAGCGUUGCUCGGAAUCACUGGGCGUAAAGGGUGCGUAGGCGGGUCUUUAAGUCAGGGGUGAAAUCCUGGAGCUCAACUCCAGAACUGCCUUUGAUACUGAAGAUCUUGAGUUCGGGAGAGGUGAGUGGAACUGCGGGUGUAGAGGUGAAAUUCGUAGAUAUUCGCAAGAACACCAGUGGCGAAGGCGGCUCACUGGCCCGAUACUGACGCUGAGGUGCGAAAGCGUGGGGAGCAAACAGG
rnacentral:rRNA from 1 species